UACGUAGGUGGCAAGCGUUAUCCGGAUUUAUUGGGCGUAAAGCGAGCGCAGGCGGUUGCUUAGGUCUGAUGUGAAAGCCUUCGGCUUAACCGAAGAAGUGCAUCGGAAACCGGGCGACUUGAGUGCAGAAGAGGACAGUGGAACUCCAUGUGUAGCAGUGGAAUGCGUAGAUAUAUGGAAGAACACCAGUGGCGAAGGCGGCUGUCUGGUCUGCAACUGACGCUGAGGCUCGAAAGCAUGGGUAGCGAACAGG
rnacentral:rRNA from 1 species